rnacentral:rRNA from 1 species
GGUUAAGCGACUAAGCGUACACGGUGGAUGCCCUGGCAGUCAGAGGCGAUGAAGGACGUGCUAAUCUGCGAUAAGCGCCGGUAAGGUGAUAUGAACCGUUAUAACCGGCGAUUUCCGAAUGGGGAAACCCAGUGUGAUUCGUCACACUAUCAUUAACUGAAUCCAUAGGUUAAUGAGGCGAACCGGGGGAACUGAAACAUCUAAGUACCCCGAGGAAAAGAAAUCAACCGAGAUUCCCCCAGUAGCGGCGAGCGAACGGGGAGGAGCCCAGAGCCUGAAUCAGCAUGUGUGUUAGUGGAAGCGUCUGGAAAGGCGCGCGAUACAGGGUGACAGCCCCGUACACAAAAGCGCAUGUGCUGUGAGCUCGAUGAGUAGGGCGGGACACGUGGUAUCCUGUCUGAAUAUGGGGGGACCAUCCUCCAAGGCUAAAUACUCCUGACUGACCGAUAGUGAACCAGUACCGUGAGGGAAAGGCGAAAAGAACCCCGGCGAGGGGAGUGAAAAAGAACCUGAAACCGUGUACGUACAAGCAGUGGGAGCACAGGUUUACCUGUGUGACUGCGUACCUUUUGUAUAAUGGGUCAGCGACUUAUAUUCUGUAGCAAGGUUAACCGUAUAGGGGAGCCGGAGGGAAACCGAGUCUUAAUUGGGCGUUAAGUUGCAGGGUAUAGACCCGAAACCCGGUGAUCUAGCCAUGGGCAGGUUGAAGGUUGGGUAACACUAACUGGAGGACCGAACCGACUAAUGUUGAAAAAUUAGCGGAUGACCUGUGGCUGGGGGUGAAAGGCCAAUCAAACCGGGAGAUAGCUGGUUCUCCCCGAAAGCUAUUUAGGUAGCGCCUCGUGAAUUCAUCUCCGGGGGUAGAGCACUGUUUCGGCUAGGGGCCAUCCCGGCUUACCAACCCGAUGCAAACUGCGAAUACCGGAGAAUGUUAUCACGGGAGACACACGGCGGGUGCUAACGUCCGUCGUGAAGAGGGAAACAACCCAGACCGCCAGCUAAGGUCCCAAAGUCAUGGUUAAGUGGGAAACGAUGUGGGAAGGCCCAGACAGCCAGGAUGUUGGCUUAGAAGCAGCCAUCAUUUAAAGAAAGCGUAAUAGCUCACUGGUCGAGUCGGCCUGCGCGGAAGAUGUAACGGGGCUAAACCAUGCACCGAAGCUGCGGCAGCGAACGUAUCACCCAAGACAACUUUACGGAGUUGACGAUUGACGGAGCGAAGCGACGUCAAAGCGUUCAUUAAAGUCGAGUUGGCUUAGGGAUACGUUCGUUGGGUAGGGGAGCGUUCUGUAAGCCUGUGAAGGUGUGUCGUGAGGCAUGCUGGAGGUAUCAGAAGUGCGAAUGCUGACAUAAGUAACGAUAAAGCGGGUGAAAAGCCCGCUCGCCGGAAGACCAAGGGUUCCUGUCCAACGUUAAUCGGGGCAGGGUGAGUCGACCCCUAAGGCGAGGCCGAAAGGCGUAGUCGAUGGGAAACGGGUUAAUAUUCCCGUACUUGGUGUUACUGCGAAGGGGGGACGGAGAAGGCUAUGUUGGCCGGGCGACGGUUGUCCCGGUUUAAGCGUGUAGGUGUGUGUUCCAGGUAAAUCCGGUUCACUUUAACACUGAGGCGUGACGACGAGGCACUACGGUGCUGAAGCAACAAAUGCCCUGCUUCCAGGAAAAGCCUCUAAGCAUCAGGUAACACGAAAUCGUACCCCAAACCGACACAGGUGGUCAGGUAGAGAAUACCAAGGCGCUUGAGAGAACUCGGGUGAAGGAACUAGGCAAAAUGGUGCCGUAACUUCGGGAGAAGGCACGCUGACACGUAGGUGAAGUGAUUUACUCAUGGAGCUGAAGUCAGUCGAAGAUACCAGCUGGCUGCAACUGUUUAUUAAAAACACAGCACUGUGCAAACACGAAAGUGGACGUAUACGGUGUGACGCCUGCCCGGUGCCGGAAGGUUAAUUGAUGGGGUCAGCGUAAGCGAAGCUCCUGAUCGAAGCCCCGGUAAACGGCGGCCGUAACUAUAACGGUCCUAAGGUAGCGAAAUUCCUUGUCGGGUAAGUUCCGACCUGCACGAAUGGCGUAAUGAUGGCCAGGCUGUCUCCACCCGAGACUCAGUGAAAUUGAACUCGCUGUGAAGAUGCAGUGUACCCGCGGCAAGACGGAAAGACCCCGUGAACCUUUACUAUAGCUUGACACUGAACAUUGAGCCUUGAUGUGUAGGAUAGGUGGGAGGCUUUGAAGUGUGGACGCCAGUCUGCAUGGAGCCGACCUUGAAAUACCACCCUUUAAUGUUUGAUGUUCUAACGUGGACCCGUAAUCCGGGUUGCGGACAGUGUCUGGUGGGUAGUUUGACUGGGGCGGUCUCCUCCUAAAGAGUAACGGAGGAGCACGAAGGUUGGCUAAUCCUGGUCGGACAUCAGGAGGUUAGUGCAAUGGCAUAAGCCAGCUUGACUGCGAGCGUGACGGCGCGAGCAGGUGCGAAAGCAGGUCAUAGUGAUCCGGUGGUUCUGAAUGGAAGGGCCAUCGCUCAACGGAUAAAAGGUACUCCGGGGAUAACAGGCUGAUACCGCCCAAGAGUUCAUAUCGACGGCGGUGUUUGGCACCUCGAUGUCGGCUCAUCACAUCCUGGGGCUGAAGUAGGUCCCAAGGGUAUGGCUGUUCGCCAUUUAAAGUGGUACGCGAGCUGGGUUUAGAACGUCGUGAGACAGUUCGGUCCCUAUCUGCCGUGGGCGCUGGAGAACUGAGGGGGGCUGCUCCUAGUACGAGAGGACCGGAGUGGACGCAUCACUGGUGUUCGGGUUGUCAUGCCAAUGGCACUGCCCGGUAGCUAAAUGCGGAAGAGAUAAGUGCUGAAAGCAUCUAAGCACGAAACUUGCCCCGAGAUGAGUUCUCCCUGAGACUUAGAGUCUCCUGAAGGAACGUUGAAGACGACGACGUUGAUAGGCCGGGUGUGUAAGCGCAGCGAUGCGUUGAGCUAACCGGUACUAAUGAACCGUGAGGCUUAACCUU